rnacentral:rRNA from 1 species
GACGUAGGGCGCGAGCGUUGUCCGGAUUUAUUGGGCGUAAAGAGCUCGUAGGCGGCUUGUCGCGUCGAAUGUGAAAACCCACAGCUCAACUGUGGGCUUGCAUUCGAUACGGGCAGACUAGAGUGCGGUAGGGGAGAUUGGAAUUCCUGGUGUAGCGGUGGAAUGCGCAGAUAUCAGGAGGAACACCGAUGGCGAAGGCAGGUCUCUGGGCCACUACUGACGCUGAGAAGCGAAAGCAUGGGGAGCGAACAGG